UGCGUCCAGAGUUUGUAGAGGAUGAAGAAACUCCGGGGCAGGAGGUUCGAGCCGAGCGCAGCGAGACAGCGUUGUUUUAGCAACGACCCGCAGGGCGACGUCACGCAGUGACGAGUUAUCCUCUCUCGCCGACCA
rnacentral:sRNA from 1 species